CAGUCGCCGCGGUAAUACAGAGGGUGCGAGCGUUAAUCGGAUUUACUGGGCGUAAAGCGCGCGUAGGCGGUUACUCAAGUCAGAGGUGAAAGCCCGGGGCUCAACCCCGGAACUGCCUUUGAAACUAGGUGACUAGAAUCUUGGAGAGGUCAGUGGAAUUCCGAGUGUAGAGGUGAAAUUCGUAGAUAUUCGGAAGAACACCAGUGGCGAAGGCGACUGACUGGACAAGUAUUGACGCUGAGGUGCGAAAGCGUGGGGAGCAAACAGGAUUAGAUACCCCCGUAGUCCCUGUCUCUUAUAC
rnacentral:rRNA from 1 species